GACUGAAUUUUGGGUUUUCAUUUCUGCAACCCUUAAACACACUCACACACACACACACACACACACACACACACACACACACACACACACACACACACACACACACACACACACACACACACACACACACACACACACGCACACACACACACACACACACACACACACACACACACACGCACACACACACACACACACACACACGCACACACACACACACACACACACACACACACACACACACCCACACACACACACACACACACUCACUCCUGCUCACAGAGCAGCUCCAGCCUCUCACUCACUCGUCUACGUCCCAGUAAAGGAGGAUCCACCCACACUAUGAAGGAUUUCAGUUGAUCUAAUCUGAUGUGAACGUAUACAGCACUCAUGUUGUAACUGAGUGGACACACAGGGAGAGACGUUGGCAGCUCCAUCUCCUGCAGCUUUUUGGAGAAUUGUCCACUUCCUACACACAGGGACGGCUGGCAGGGCAACCUGUGAUGAUGAAGCCCCAGGAGGCCGAGCUCGUCAAUGAGAUCUCUAAGCUCCAGUGCAUGGUGUCAGAGCUGAAGAUGGGCUUCAGCAGUGCUCUGCUGGAGCUCAGCCACAUCCAGCAUGGAGACACGUACCUGAGGGAGGAGAUGGAGGAGAACAGGAGGAGCUGUCACAAGAAAGCACGGAGGAUGGAGUCUCUGGUCGAGGCUUUGAGGGAGGAACUGGGCGUGAUGAGAAGUCACAUGGUGCAGUUGUACAGUAACAGAAACCAGCAAGAAGUAAAAAAGCAGAAACAGAGUAAUGAUGAAGAAGAGGAUGCUCCAUCCACUGCUGCGUCCAGAGGAAAACUGCUCCUCCACUGCUUCCUGCAGGGACUCAAAGCUGGGCUCAGUGAAGGCACAGAUGCUCGACAUCAGGUGGCGAUGCAGCUGCUGCACUCAGAGUGGGAGUAUGUGUCCACUCUGAACCAGCUGUACGACACGUACAGGACAGUAGCAGAACCACCUCAGAACUUUGUGAAGUUUGUGGAGGAGCUGCUACAGCGCCACCUGCUGUUCAGAAACACUCUGCAGGAGCGACUGUCUGCGGAACACUGGAAGUCUCUGCUCGGAGAUCUACUGCUGCAGCUGAUUGGCCAGAACGACACAGCGUUUGCAGACCUGUACGUGGGAUACACCAGCACUCUGGCAUCGUUUCUCUUCCUGGAGUUGAACAGAGUGAAGUGUGACGCUCAGACGCCUCAGAGGGACAGGGAGGAGAUGAAGCUGCUGUCUCUGCUGCUCGCUCCUGUCACUCGAGUCCACAGCUACCUGAGUCACAUCCAGAACCUGUUGCAGUGGACCAGUAAAGAUCAUCCUGACUGCAGCCUCCUGCUGGGGAGCGAGCGAACGCUGAGGAGCAUCUUGUCCCGCUGUCAUAGGAUCCUGGAGGAGGACGUUUGUUGGGAGGAGAGUGGAGGAGGAGCAGGACAGAGCUGCUCUGAUGCUCCAUCCUGUUCAUUGUCUGUGAACGGCUGCAUGAGGCCUCAGCAGAACAGAGGAGAAUCAGACACUGCUCAUCAAAUAGAUGGCCCCCCCUCUGGUCACCCUGUGAAGGGCGUGGCCUCCAUGCGUGUGGAGUGCUGGUCGUGCAGCCCUGUGAACAGGCGGGUGUGUGUGUGUGGCUGUGGACACGCAUGCUGCCCCCCCUCCCUCCUGCUCUCUGCUGAUCCUACUGCAUGGGGGGAGAACAGCGACUCGGGACAGGGAACCUUCAGGAGCUCCAAGCACCCACAGCACGCCGCCCACGGCUGCCAGGGCGACCACGAUGACACCUCAGCCUUCGAUUACUCCUCAGUCACCUCCUGCAGCCCUGACCCCACCCUGUGCAGGGAGACCAUAGGCAGUGACGAGGAGGAGGAGGAGGAAGAGGAGGACAGCCAGGUGCCAGUGCUGCUGAAGCCUAAUGACACCCACAGGGAGAGGAGUGUGUGUCUGCGCUGGCAGGUUCCCAGAGUGACCCCCCACCCUCCACUGAGGAGCCCCACAGAGGGUCUAAUCAGCUCCCACAGACAGAGGGUGGUCAGUGUGCGUAAAGGUUCCCCUCCUCUGCAUCCAAACAGUGCCUUCAGACCCAUCUGGGACGACCCGUCCAAACAGGCUGAUUCAGCUCCAGAAAAGGAAAGCAGACAAAGCUUCAAACCCAUUCAAGCUCCAGUGAAGCCCAACUAUCAAAGUCUCAGCAGGAACAGGACCAAUGUGGAGGGUGGACGUGUGUGGGAGGACAGCGAGGACAGCGAGGGACCCUGUAGCACCGUCUGAUCUUCAACAUGUUACACAUGGAGGACGCCCCCCCCUCCCCCUGCUGAAACAGGACGUAUUAAAUCUAAAUAAAAGUGUCCGAGCGGU
ensembl:lncRNA uncharacterized LOC114455908